AUGGAGUCAAAUGGUGUUGAAAACUAUCUAUAUGGACGGGGGAUGUCAAUAGCUACUCAACGAGGUAAAGAAUGUCAAAAACGGACUUCGGGAGCAAAAGUUAUGGCCGAAACGGUGUUGGUCGGUGAGCUGAUUCGGGGAGGUGCGGGUGCCCGGGGGUGGAAGGUGCGGGCACCCGGGGUGGUCAGCGAGGUUGGGCUGAAGAAGAGGCCCGGGGGUCCGGGUGCCCGGGGGCAAGAGGUGCGGGCACCCGGGGUGGUCCGGGGCAAACAGCCCGGGGUGCGGGUUGCUACCUCUUGA
rnacentral:rRNA from 1 species